rnacentral:piRNA from 1 species
AGUGUGAAGAGUGCAAAGACCUUAUAGA